rnacentral:rRNA from 1 species
GGGGGGGGGGGGGGGGGGGGUGGGGGCGGGGGGGGCGGGCGGGGGGGGGGGGCGGUGGUGGGGUGCGCGGGUGGGGGGCGGUUGGGGAACACGUGCGUGGCCUGCCCUUGACUUUGGUCUCACUUCAGGCCACUUGGGCUGCUCCCGGGUAGGAGCUCCUGCUGCCUUGUGGUGGUGUUAACGUUUCGGCGGUUGGGGGUGGACUCGCGUCUUAUCAGCUUUUUGGUGGGGUCGUGGCUUACCCAGGCUUUGACGGGUAGCCGGCCUGAGAGGGUGACCGGCAACAUUGGGACUGAGAUACGGCCCAGACUCCUACGGGAGGCAGCAGUGGGGAAUAUUGCACAAUGGGCGGAAGCCUGAUGCAGCAACGCCGCGUGCGGGAUGGCGGCCUUCGGGUUGUAAACCGCUUUCGCCUGUGACGAAGCGUGAGUGACGGUAAUGGGUAAAGAAGCACCGGCUAACUACGUG